CACCCCGAAAAUGGUGCAGGAAUCCUGAAAGAACAGGAUUUACCCAAAAAGAAACGGAUUUACCCCAAAAUUGAUGGGAUUUACCCCAAAAUGGUGCAGUAAACCAAAAAGAAGAGGAUUUACCCAAAAAGAAAGGGAUUUACCCCAAAAACGACAGGACUCAGCCCAAAAUCAGUGGGAUUUAUCCCAAAAAUGGUGCAGGAACCUGAAAACGGCGCAGGAGCACCAAAACCAGCACAAUUUACACCAAAAACAGUAAAAGGAACCCAAAAAUGGGUGACCUGGCUCACCUGGGGUUCGCCUGGCUCACAGGUGUGUUCAGGUAUGUUCACCUGUAUCUCACCUGGCUCACAGGGAUGUUCAGCCGUGCCACAAUGUCACGCCUGGCUAUGUCACACCUGUCACACCUGUCUCUGUCACACCUGUGUCACACCUGGCUCACAGGUGUGUUCAGGUGUGAGGUUCACCUGGGGUUCACCUGGCUGUAUCUCACCUGGCUCACAGGGAUGUUCAGCCGUGCCACAAUGUCACACCUGGCUAUGUCACACCUGUGUCACACCUGGCUAUGUCACACCUGGGGUUCACCUGGCUCACAGGGAUGUUCAGGAUGUCACACCUGGGGCACACCUGGCUGUGUCUCCCCUAUCUGUGUCUCCCCUAUCUGUGUCUCACCUGGGGUUCACCUGGCUCACAGGGAUGUUCAGGUAUGUUCAGGUGUGUUCAGGUGUGACUCACCUGGGGCACACCUGGCUCACAGGGAUGUUCAGCCGUGCCGCGAUGUCCUCCACGGUCUCAUUGCCCUCGGAGAUGAUCCCCACGCCCUUGGCGAUGGCCUUGGCCGUGAUNAGGAACGGGGUGAUCUCGGGGAUGUUGCUGGUCAGCGUGUACGCGAUCGAUUUCUUCAGAUUGUCGAAAAUCAGGCGCCCUGAGGCGAAAAACGGCAAAAAACCAUCAAAAACCAUCAAAAACAGCAAAAAAUGGCAAAAACCGUCACCAGCGGCCCCAUAAACGCACGGAUUCACCCCAAAAUGGCCCAAACCGGACCUUCUGGUGACCAUGGAGGUGAAGUUGUCAUCGAGCAGGAUCACCUGUCCCACACCUGUCCCAGGUAUCUCACCUGUCCCUUACCUAUCUCAGGUGUGUCACUCACCUGCCCAGGUGUGUCUCAGGUGUGCCCAGGUGUGUUUCUCACCUGUCUCACCUGUCCCAGGUAUCUCACCUGUCCCAUACCUGCCCCAUACCUAUCUCAGGUGUGUUUCUCACCUUUCCAGGUGUGUCUCACCUGUCCCACACCUGUCCCGCACCUGUCCCACGUUAACCCACACCUGCCCAGGUGUGUCUCAGGUGUGUUUCUCACCUUCCCAGGUGUGUCUUACCUGUCCCACACCUGUCCCACACCUGUCCUACAUUAACCCACACUAACCCACACCUGCCCAGGUGUAUCUCAGGUGUGUUUCUCUCCUGUCUUACCUGUCCCAGGUAUCUCAGCUGUCCCAUACCUGUCCCAUACCUAUCUCAGGUGUAUCUCAGGUGUGUCUCACCUGUCUCAGGUGUGUCUCAGGUGUGUCUCAGGUGUGUCUCACCUAUCCCACACCUGUCCCACGUUAACCCACACCUGCCCAGGUGUACCUCAGGUGUGUCUCAAGUGUGUCUCUCACCUUCCCAGGUGUGUCUCACCUGUCCCACACCUGUCCUACAUUAACCCACACUAACCCACACCUGCCCAGGUGUAUCUCAGGUGUGUCUCUCACCUGCCCAGGUGUGUCUGACCUGUCCCACACCUGUCCUACGUUAACCCACGUUAACCCACACCUGCCCAGGUGUGCCCAGGUGUGCCCAGGUGUGUUUCUCACCUGUCUCACCUGUCCCACGUAUCUCAGCUGUCCCAUACCUGCCCCAUACCUAUCUCAGGUGUGUUUCUCACCUGCCCAGGUGUGUCUGACCUGUCCCACACCUGUCCUACGUUAACCCACGUUAACCCACACGUGCCCAGGUGUGCCCAGGUGUG
rnacentral:lncRNA from 1 species